UGGUUGAUUUGAAUAUCCAUUUCUUCCAUGAACCUUGACAAUAUCUUUAUCAUUUUAAUAUUCUAAAGUUCCUUUACUAUAGCUCCAAAUAUUCUGACAACUAGAUGAGGAUUUUUUUUUUUUUUGGUAUGCUUGCCAUAGAAAAGAAGAACCUUUAUUAGUUAUGCCUUGAACUUGGCAAGUGAUGAGGAAUGUUCAUGAUGACCAACUCCUAUAAUGAAAAGGGGAAAGAAAAGAGAAAAGAAACAGAGAUGCUAAAGAGGAUAAAGGAGAUUUAAGAGAGAGUAGAGGAGAAAAGAAAAAAAGCUAGGCAGGGAAGAAGGAAAGAGGGAGGAACAAAAGUAGGGAGGGGAGAGAUAAGAGGGAAGAAAGUUGGAAGAGCAGGGAUAAAAGAAGAUGCAAAAAGAGGUUCCAGUCCAAAACCUUAAACACUACCAUCCAUUAAAGAGAAUUGCAUGCAUAAAAAGGAAGGUUUUAAGUAUAACGACUCAUUAAAACUCAAACUUUACCCAGCAUAAUUUCACAUAUUAAUUUCUUUGGAUAUAGUGUCACAAUUAGUUUCCUUCUACCAAACUUCACCAAUCAAAGAAUUUUCAACCAUCUCAC
rnacentral:lncRNA from 1 species